CCAACAGGGAUUGCCUCAGUAACGGCGAGUGAAGCGGCAACAGCUCAAAUUUGAAAUCUGGCCCUCGGGUCCGAGUUGUAAUUUGCAGAGGAUGCUUCGGGUGCGGUGCCUUCCAAGUCCCCUGGAACGGGGCGCCAGAGAGGGUGAGAGCCCCGUCCGGUCGGCCGCCAAGCCCGUGUGAAGCUCCUUCGACGAGUCGAGUAGUUUGGGAAUGCUGCUCUAAACGGGAGGUAGACCCCUUCUAAAGCUAAAUACCGGCCAGAGACCGAUAGCGCACAAGUAGAGUGAUCGAAAGAUGAAAAGCACUUUGAAAAGAGGGUUAAACAGUACGUGAAAUUGUUGAAAGGGAAGCGCUUGUGACCAGACGUGCAGCGGGUGCUCAGCAGGCGUUCUCGCCUGUGCACUCGCCCGCUGCAGGCCAGCGUCGGUUCGGACGGGGGGACAAAGGCGCCGGGAACGUAGCUCCUCCGGGAGUGUUACAGCCCGGCGUGCCAUGCCCCCGGCCGGACCGAGGUUCGCGUUCGCAAGGACGCUGGCGUAAUGGUCCCCAGCGGCCCGUCUUGAAACACGGACCAAGGAGUCGAGGUUUUGCGCGAGUGUCUGGGUGUCAAACCCGCACGCGUAAUGAAAGUGAACGUAGGUGGGAGCUUCGGCGCACCACCGACCGAUCCUGAUGUUCUCGGAUGGAUUUGAGUAGGAGCGUAGGGCCUCGGACCCGAAAGAUGGUGAACUAUACGUGGAUAGGGUGAAGCCAGAGGAAACUCUGGUGGAGGCUCGCAGCGGUUCUGACGUGCAAAUCGAUCGUCAAAUCUGCGUAUGGGGGCGAAAGACUAAUCGAACCAU
rnacentral:rRNA from 1 species